rnacentral:lncRNA from 9 species
AUCACUCAGAUAAACAGCAGCAGUGCGUAUGUUCUGUAAAUAGCCACAAGUGAGACCUGAAAUCAGCCUCUUUCAUCUGAAUCCAGGGGCAGCAAGCUGAGGGGUCUUUGGGCUGCUGGGCUGAUUCUAUAAGAACCCCUCUGGUUCGGAGCUGCAGGAGUCCCUCCCAUUUAUAUUGGUGUUCCUCUUUUACCAUUUUGGCUUCUUGCUCAUACCUAUUUUCUCUUAGUUCCAAUCUCAGCGAAUGGAAUAGAUUCUACAAAGUCAAGCAGAAUAUUCCCUCUUGUCUGACUUCUCACAAGUAUGCUAAGUCUCUCCCGUGGAGCACUUUUAGCGAGACUCCCAGAAAAGCACCACAUGCGUGAUUCCAAACGUGCAGAAUGUCCCAGAAAACCUCAGCGACGUCUCCCCGUGUUCCUGCCUCCAUUGCCUCGUGAGUUUUAUCGUGUGCCCUUUCCUGGCUCACACCCAUCUAGCUCUUUCCCUGCCGAGCUGGCAAAGCCGCUUAGGCAACUAACCCCUAGCGGUCCACUCUUCAUCCAUUCUAGAAGCAUUUACAAGGGCUUCCUCUGUGUCAGGUCUAUAUGGGGGCUGGAGGAUAACAAUGGAUAAAAUAUGCUCAUCCCUGGUGCUCACACACCAAGGCCAUGACGUUCCCAUGGCUUAUCAGUCAAGAACCGUAUUCCAAGAUUAACAUGAAUACCGUCCCUGCGACGCUUUGUACUUUUCAAUUGUGAUUAUCAUGAUGAGCUUUACGGUUAACACUAUACUAGUUGGUUGGGCGACACACGCGCGCGCGCGCACACGCGCGCACACACUCACACACACAAAGCUCCACUUCAUUUUCUUUCACAUUUUCUGCCUGUGAUAACCUCCUCUCUGGGUCAUAAAAUGUUAACAGAGUAAUCUUAAUUUUAUGAGCAGUGAAAGCUGUUAACAGUAACUUUAAGAGUGUUUACUUAACAUAACAACCAGAUUGAACAUGACUUGAUCCAGUGGCGAUACAUCACAACCCUUAAAAUGCUGUCACAAUCACGACUAUUUUGUUGAAUGGGCUUAAAUCAGCUAUGCAAGUGAACUUCUCUGGCAUAAUUCACAUGAGCCACAAAUGAAACUAGAGGUUUACUCUUCUAUCACUAUUCUGCCUGUAACUCUGAACUCCCUGGAAGGACUUUUGUUGGAAAUACCUGAUUUACUGUGAUUGUCCCAGCUCUCUGCUUACUUGUGCUUUUUUUUUUUUUUUUUUUUUUUUUCCCCACUGUACAGCAAGGGGGUCAGGUUAUCCUUACAUGUAUACAUUACAAUUACAUUUUUCCCCCACCCUUUCUUCUGUUGCAACAUGAGUAUCUAGACAUAGUUCUCAAUGCUAUUCAGCAGGAUCUCCUUGUAAAUCUAUUCUAAGUUGUGUCUGAUAAGCCCAAGCUCCCAAUCCCUCCCACUCCCUCCCCCUCCCAUCAGGCAGCCACAAGUCUCUUCUCCAAGUCCAUGAUUUUCUUUUCUGAGGAGAUGUUCAUUUGUGCUGGAUAUUAGAUUCCAGUUAUAAGUGAUAUCAUAUGGUAUUUGUCUUUGUCUUUCUGGCUCAUUUCACUCAGUAUGAGAUUCUCUAGUUCCAUCCAUGUUGCUACAAAUGGCAUUAUGUCAUUCUUUUUUAUGGCUGAGUAGUAUUCCAUUGUGUAUAUAUACCACAUCUUCCGAAUCCAAUCAUCUGUCG